rnacentral:rRNA from 1 species
UACGUAGGGGGCAAGCGUUGUCCGGAAUCAUUGGGCGUAAAGAGCGUGUAGGCGGCCCGGUAAGUCCGCUGUAAAAGUCAAAGGCUUAACCUUUGAAUGUCAGUGGAUACUGCCGGGCUAGAGUCCGGAAGAGGCGAGUGGAACUCCUGGUGUAGCGGUGGAAUGCGCAGAUAUCAGGAAGAACACCAACGGCGAAGGCAGCUCGCUGGGACGGUACUGACGCUGAGACGCGAAAGCGUGGGGAGCGAACAGG